GGAAAAGAAACCAACAGGGAUUGCCUCAGUACACGGCGAGUGAAGCGGCAACAGCUCAAAUUUGAAAUCUGGCUCUUUCAGGGUCCGAGUUGUAAUUUGUAGAAGAUGCUUUGGGUGUAGCUCCGGUCUAAGUUCCUUGGAACAGGACGUCAUAGAGGGUGAGAAUCCCGUACGUGACUGGGGUGCUUUCGCUCGUGUAAAGCUCUUUCGACGAGUCGAGUUGUUUGGGAAUGCAGCUCAAAAUGGGUGGUAAAUUUCAUCUAAAGCUAAAUAUUGGCCAGAGACCGAUAGCGCACAAGUAGAGUGAUCGAAAGAUGAAAAGCACUUUGGAAAGAGAGUUAAACAGUACGUGAAAUUGUUGAAAGGGAAGCGCUUGCAACUAGACUUGCACGCUGUUGAUCAUCCGAGGUUUUCCCCGGUGCACUCGGCAGCGUUCAGGCCAGCAUCGGUUUUGGUGGGCGGAUAAAGGCCUUGGGAAUGUAGCUUCUUUCGGGGAGUGUUAUAGCCCUCGGUGCAAUGCGCCCUACCGGGACCGAGGACCGCGCUUCGGCUAGGAUGCUGGCGUAAUGGUUGUAAGCGACCCGUCUUGAAACACGGACC
rnacentral:rRNA from 1 species